UUUGUAGGUGAACCUGCAGAAGGAUCAUUGUCGAUUCCUGCAAAAUGCAGAACAACCCGCGAACUAGUUUGCCAAAGUCCCGCCCCGCGCGGGAACGGCGCGGGGCGCUUCGGAGCCGUGGCUCGUGCUUGCGCGCGCCCUGCCUGGAACGCCUCGCGCCCCUUAACGAACCCCGACGCCAGUCGCGUCAAGGAAUGUAUAACUCAGAACGCGGCUCCCCUGCCCCGAUUUCGGGACGCAGGGGUGUCUUGCGAACUUGAUAACAUCAAACGACUCUCGACAACGGAUAUCUCGGCUCUCGCAUCGAUGAAGAACGUAGUGAAAUGCGAUACUUGGUGUGAAUUGCAGAAUCCCGUGAACCAUCGAGUUUUUGAACGCAAGUUGCGCCCGAAGCCUUCUGGCGGAGGGCACGUYUGCCUGGGCGUCACGCAUGGUAGCCCCCCGCACCACAAAAAAAACAAGGCCGAGAUCGUUCCUCGGUCAUCGGCUGGCCUUUGGGUGGUCGGGGCGGCAAUGUUGGCCUCCCGUGCGGGCAACCGCGCGGAUGGCCUAAAUUUGAGUCCUAGGCGUCUUGCGGCGCGAUCGACGGUGGUUGCCAUGCCCUCGACGAAUUACGUUGCGCCUGCGAGACGCGCGCUUGGGAACUCCUCGAAGACCCUAAUGCGUCGGCUCGUCGGAAAAAGCCGGCGAGUGGGCGUUAUCGAAGCGACCCCAGGUCAGGCGGGAUUACCCGCUGAGU
rnacentral:rRNA from 1 species